rnacentral:rRNA from 1 species
AAGGCGACGACGGGUAGCCGGCCUGAGAGGGCGACCGGCCACACUGUGACUGAGACACGGCCCAGACUCAUUCGUGAGGCAGCAGUGGGGAAUAUUGCACAAUGGGCGAAAGCCUGAUGCAGCGACGCCGCGUGAGGGAUGACGGCCUUCGGGUUGUAAACCUCUUUCAGCAGGGAAGAAGCGAAAGUGACGGUACCUGCAGAAGAAGCGCCGGCUAACUACGUGCCAGCAGCCGCGGUAAUACGUAGGGCGCAAGCGUUGUCCGGAAUUAUUGGGCGUAAAGAGCUCGUAGGCGGCUUGUCACGUCGGUUGUGAAAGCCCGGGGCUUAACCCCGGGUCUGCAGUCGAUACGGGCAGGCUAGAGUGUGGUAGGGGAGAUCGGAAUUCCUGGUGUAGCGGUGAAAUGCGCAGAUAUCAGGAGGAACACCGGUGGCGAAGGCGGAUCUCUGGGCCAUUACUGACGCUGAGGAGCGAAAGCGUGGGGAGCGAACAGGAUUAGAUACCCUGGUAGUCCACGCCGUAAACGGUGGGAACUAGGUGUUGGCGACAUUCCACGUCGUCGGUGCCGCAGCUAACGCAUUAAGUUCCCCGCCUGGGGAGUACGGCCGCAAGGCUAAAACUCAAAGGAAUUGACGGGGGCCCGCACAAGCAGCGGAGCAUGUGGCUUAAUUAGACGCAACGCGAAGAACCUUACCAAGGCUUGACAUACACCGGAAAGCAUUAGAGAUAGUGCCCCCCUUGUGGUCGGUGUACAGGUGG